rnacentral:rRNA from 1 species
GAUGAACGCUGGCGGCGUGCCUAAUACAUGCAAGUCGAGCGAACGGACGAGAAGCUUGCUUCUCUGAUGUUAGCGGCGGACGGGUGAGUAACACGUGGAUAACCUACCUAUAAGACUGGGAUAACUUCGGGAAACCGGAGCUAAUACCGGAUAAUAUUUUGAACCGCAUGGUUCAAAAGUGAAAGACGGUCUUGCUGUCACUUAUAGAUGGAUCCGCGCUGCAUUAGCUAGUUGGUAAGGUAACGGCUUACCAAGGCAACGAUGCAUAGCCGACCUGAGGGGGGAGCGCGCCCCCAGUGAAACUGAGACCCGGCCCAGCCCCCAAGGGGGGGCGCAAGGGGGAACUUUCCCGAAAGGGGAAAAGGCCGGACGGGCCAGCGCGGGGGGAUGAAGGAGGUUUUUGGAUUAUAAAAACUUUUUGAUAGGGAAAAAAAAUAUUGGUAAGUAAUGUUCCACUUCUUACGGUACCCUAACAAGAAGACCAGCCCAACUAAGGGC